rnacentral:lncRNA from 1 species
GCUCCCAUUGUACACUUCACACACCAGCUUUCUCUCCAGACAGUUGUUUGAUCACUAACUACUUCGAAUAUCAUGACCAUAGGCUCAUUUAUUUUUUUCUGUUUUAAAGGAUGGUGCUGGUGUGCACAGGGAGCAGCCACGUCAAUUUACACAUUUGCCAAGGACAAUGAGAAUACAGUUUCCUCCGAAAAAAUCUUAGGCUGAUCUUGGAAGAAAGACCCCCUGGAUCAUCUAAAAAUAAAGUUUUCUAUUUAAAGAACAUCCCUGUAGCUAAAUGGUGUUCAAAGUAAACAUGGAGAACAGAAAGCAUCCAUCUCUACCUAGUGGGGCAAAAAAUGACUGAAUUCCCAUACCAUAUAAAUACCCCAUGAAAAGACAGAGGAAUCCUUGAUCCACCCAACAUUCACUGAGUAUCUGCCUUGUGGCAAGCACUGCGGAUGUGCUUGGAUACAAAGAUAAAUAAAACGUGGGCUCCACUCCCA